rnacentral:rRNA from 1 species
CGGCGGACGGGUGAGUAAUGCCUAGGAAUCUGCCUGGUAGUGGGGGACGAACGUUUCGAAAGGAACGCUAAUACCGCAUACGUCCUACGGGAGAAAGCAGGGACCUUCGGGCCUUGCGCUAUCAGAUGAGCCUAGGUCGGAUUAGCUAGUUGGUGAGGUAAUGGCUCACCAAGGCGACGAUCCGUAACUGGUCUGAGAGGAUGAUCAGUCACACUGGAACUGAGACACGGUCCAGACUCCUACGGGAGGCAGCAGU